rnacentral:rRNA from 1 species
UACGAAGGGGGCUAGCGUUGUUCGGAAUCACUGGGCGUAAAGGGCGCGUAGGCGGCCGAUCAAGUCGGGGGUGAAAGCCUGUGGCUCAACCACAGAAUUGCCUUCGAUACUGUUUGGCUUGAGACCGGAAGAGGUUAGUGGAACUGCGAGUGUAGAGGUGAAAUUCGUAGAUAUUCGCAAGAACACCAGUGGCGAAGGCGACUCACUGGCCCGAUACUGACGCUGAGGCGCGAAAGCGUGGGGAGCAAACAGG